rnacentral:rRNA from 1 species
GACGAACGCUGGCGGCGUGCUUAACACAUGCAAGUCGAACGGAAAGGCCCUGCUUUUGUGGGGUGCUCGAGUGGCGAACGGGUGAGUAACACGUGAGUAACCUGCCCUUGACUUUGGGAUAACUUCAGGAAACUGGGGCUAAUACCGGAUAGGAGCUCCUGCUGCAUGGUGGGGGUUGGAAAGUUUCGGCGGUUGGGGAUGGACUCGCGGCUUAUCAGCUUGUUGGUGGGGUAGUGGCUUACCAAGGCUUUGACGGGUAGCCGGCCUGGGAGGGUGACCGGCCACAUUGGGACUGGGGUACGGCCCAGACGCCAACGGGAGGCAGCGGUGGGGAAUAUUGCGCAAUGGGCGGAAGCCUGAUGCAGCAACGCCGCGUGCGGAAUGACGGCCUUCGGGUUGUAAACCGCUUUCGCCUGUGACGAAGCGUGAGUGACGGUAAUGGGUAAAGAAGCACCGGCUAACUACGU